rnacentral:rRNA from 1 species
CUAAGGCCACCAUGAACACGCCCGGUCUCGUCUGAUCCCCGAAGCUAAGUGGGACUCGGGCCUGGUUAGUACUUGGAGGGGAGAAAUCAAGACAGC